CUUUGUGGGCUGCAGUGUUCUCAUCCUGAAAAAAUCUAGCAGUUAAGAGGAAAAAUGAGCACAGUGACCACUGAGCUAGACUAACAAAAUAUCAACAAAGAAUCCACUGAGCUUAAAGAUCAGCCAGCGUUAUGCAGUUGAUACCUAGAAAUGGAAGUCUGAGUGCAUAAGAACUGUCUAUUUUUGUGUCAACACAAACCACAUUAGAUUUCUAAUAUUAGAAGAUGAGAUAGAACAAGAGGGGAAAGAUACCAUUCAAAAUGCAUGUCUGUACACCAACAGACAGGAAAACUGAGAUCAAGGAUCUCCACACAUCCUUCCACCUGUAUACCUUUCUACAAACCGCUGAACAUGAAAAGUAGAUUAAAUGCAGCUAAGCAGCUGCUGUCGCAGAAGUAUGCAAGAGGGUUUUUUUCAUUUGGCAUGCAGUUUCUCCAAUGUUCAGAGCAUCUGAGCACCUGGUUUGAGGAUGUAAUUGUAUAAUAUAAUAUUUAUGAGUUAUAUAAACCUUCUGCUAACCACGGAGCAGAGUCUGCAAACCUAAAAGACGACAUUUCAGGCAACUCCUGCUUCAUGCACUCUCCUUGCUACAGCUCUCCUAUCUUCCAAUAGUGCAGCCUUUUGCAAGCAAGCCUCUACAACCUAAGACUGUAGUGGUUGAUUCCAAAAUUUGUGUCUGAUAAUACUCUGGGGGCUCUCAGCACACUGGGGAAGACUGUUAGCCGCCAAGGUUGCCAGCUGCUGAAUAAGAGUUAGAAAAGCAAUACGUUAGAACUGUGGCUACUGAGGCCGGUGCCACAUUAGGAUACGCCGAUUUAGUACACACGAAGUCACCAUAUCAAGAGUUGCCAGAACACAGCUGUCAGUGCUUCCAAACUGCACUCCACGCACAGGUGGAGCAGUAUAUUAAAACAGACACAUACACUGUUCUUUAGAUAAGUCAAAUGUUAUUUCUGCCAAAAAUAUACACACGCAUUAACCAAAAGACAAGCCAAGAAUAAAACAAACCAAAAAAGCUACUCUCCAAAGACAGACAAAACUAAGAAAAGAGUCAGGCUUCCUCGCCGUAAAACCACAGAGCUCAAAAUCUUCUAAGCACUCAGAAGUUUAGACGUCUCCCAAACAUCAAACUCCUUAACUACCCCUCUCUCCAUCAGUCUGGGCUACUCAUCCCCAGAAACAGCUCUGCCAAGAUUUUAAGGAAGAAAGGAUCUGCUUAUAGAAAUUAGAAGUCAAGAUCAGUUUCUGUGUCUGUUUGAAAUCACAUGGCUUUCGGGAAAGGAAGAAUACCCUCAUCUUUACAUUAGGUUGUAGAAUCUCAAAACGGGGACUUAUAAUGGCAGAAAAGCCAGUAGCCAUUUCAGUGUAGAAGGAUUAAUUAAUAGAAAAGCAAAUCUGAGGAUUUUCAUUGUCGUGUACUCUGGAUGCUAUUAACCACUAAUUUCAGUCCCCUUCUUCCUCAUCUCGUCUUUGGGGACAGAAGACAAAGUUCAUAGGAUGGGUAGCAGAACGAAAGGCAAUGCCAAGUUAGCACUUACUGAAAGCAACACCUCACAUCCCUGGUUGGACAACCUCUACAGCAAGGCUCAAUUUUAUUUAAGCUAUGGACAGUUCCAGUAGAGUGUGCAGAUAAUCUUGAGAAAGAUGACACUCAAGUAUAAUGUACAUAUUUGACACGACUGAAAGGAGUAGGGUUAAAACAGUCAUUUAUCUACUACACCUUUUAAGCUUUGUGAUUAAGGCAAAAUAUUUUUCUGUAGACUUCUUCCUACUCAGGUAGAAGUAUUCAAAAGUGCUCUGAGUUUCACGCAAGUACACUGCUCAUCAUCUUAAUUAAAAGCUUAUGGGAUUAUUCACUUUCAGAUGUACAGUUUCCUGUAAAAGAAUUACUCAUAUGUUCUCUUCUACAUUUUAAUUUCUAGUAUUUCAGUGCACAAACGCACCAGCAAUGCAGCACACUCUUACCACUGAUACAGUAGCACCCACCCAGUGGCAACAGCAUCUAGGACACCUGGUGGCAGCAAUGUCACAGACUCCACCUGCGCUUGAAGAGCCACCGUCACUGAGAGUUCCUGAUAACAGGGCACUGACACCCAUGUAAGUGCUUGUUUGCACCACGUUCCAGCAUCGUUAAACACAACUGACCUGUAGCUAGUCACAGUUACAAGCUUCUUCCGGAGCUAGAAUGAAGAAAGUUGGCCAAAUCCUAAGGUUUCAUGAUUCCAUAAUUCAAAAGGACUUUCAGAACAAAUCUAGUACUAACACUGCUAUACAGGAAGCUGGAAGUAAAGAAUAACCAGGACAUGCAAAAACAAAAAUGCUUAAGCAAAGGAAGUUAGGAACAGUUCAUCAGAGAUGAUCUCACCAGCUAGGUUAGAUACAAAGCCAUUCUGCCUCACUUCCUUACACUGAACAAAGAGCAGAAGUGGGAUCAGAAGUGUAAGGAAUAUGUAAAUACAAUGUGUAUCAUGAAAACAGCUGCAGGGAAAAAAAAGCCUUUUGUCCUCCUGCAGGACAACAGCAGAUCAGAAUAUUUCCUCUUUAUGAAAGGUUACAAGAAAUCUUAACACGGCUUCCAAUGUUUACCUUUUGGAGCAGUAGCACCAUGAGAAUUUUUAUUUCCAGCAAUGCCUAAGUUAGCACACUAGGUACAGUUCAGUACCUUGCUCAGUGGAGACACACAGAAGCAAGCACGCUGCCUAAAGACUGGGACAAGCCUAGGAAAGAUAAUGGCAGAGAAGAGAACCUACACCACUCCCAGAAGGGCUACAACAGUCUGGCUGACAAGCUUCCAAGAUACUCACGCUGUCUGAUUUCUUAGCUUUCCACUUCAUUUCAAAAAGCAUGGGCACGACAUAUCAAAGCAGUGAAGCACCAAGCUUUUCCCAUGAAAAAUAAAAUAAAAAAGUAUAUCAAAACCAUACCACCUGUGAGCUUGUUCCAGAGCUGGGCUGUGUGUGAAUAAAUGUGUUAAUACUCA